rnacentral:tRNA from 1 species
GCCUUUGUGGUGUAGUGGUCAGCAAGCUCAAAGCGUAUUCGAGAGUUCCGUGGUUCAAAUCCUGGCGAGGGCA